rnacentral:piRNA from 1 species
UCCAAGUUGACUGAUUCAAAACACCUGC